GACGAACGCUGGCGGCGUGCCUAAUACAUGCAAGUCGAGCGAAGUUUUUCUGGUGCUUUCACCGGAAAAACUUAGCGGCGAACGGGUGAGUAACACGUAAAGAACCUGCCUCAUAGACUGGGACAACUAUUGGAAACGAUAGCUAAUACCGGAUAAUAGCAUUAACUGCAUGGUUGAUGUUUAAAAGUUGGUUUUGCUAACACUAUGAGAUGGCUUUGCGGUGCAUUAGCUAGUUGGUGGGGUAAAGGCCUACCAAGGCGACGAUGCAUAGCCGACCUGUGAGGGUGAUCGGCCACACUGGGACUGAGACACGGCCCAGACUCCUACGGGAGGCAGCAGUAGGGAAUCUUCCGCAAUGGGCGAAAGCCUGACGGAGCAACGCCGCGUGAGUGAAGAAGGAUUUCGGUUCGUAAAGCUCUGUUGUUAGGGAAGAAUGAUUGUGUAGUAACUAUACACAGUAGAGACGGUACCUAACCAGAAAGCCACGGCUAACUACGUG
rnacentral:rRNA from 1 species